GACGAACGCUGGCGGCGUGCUUAACACAUGCAAGUCGAACGGAAAGGCCCUGCUUUUGUGGGGUGCUCGAGUGGCGAACGGGUGAGUAACACGUGAGUAACCUGCCCUUGACUUUGGGAUAACUUCAGGAAACUGGGGCUAAUACCGGAUAGGAGCUCCUGCUGCAUGGUGGGGGUUGGAAAGUUUCGGCGGUUGGGGAUGGACUCGCGGCUUAUCAGCUUGUUGGUGGGGUAGUGGCUUACCAAGGCUUUGACGGGUAGCCGGCCUGAGAGGGUGACCGGCCACAUUGGGACUGGGAUACGGCCCAGACGCCUACGGGAGGCAGGAGGGGGGAAUAUUGCACAAUGGGCGGGAGCAUGAUGCAGCAACGCCGCGUGCGGGAUGACGGUCUUCGGGUUGUAAACCGCUUUCGCCUGUGACGAAGCGUGAGUGACGGUAAUGGGUAAAGAAGCACCGGCUAACUACG
rnacentral:rRNA from 1 species